rnacentral:rRNA from 1 species
GUACAUGUCAAGUCGAGCGAACAGAAGGGAGCUUGCUCCCGGAUGUUAGCGGCGGACGGGUGAGUAACACGUGGGUAACCUGCCUGUAAGACUGGGAUAACUCCGGGAAACCGGAGCUAAUACCGGAUAGUUCCUUGAACCGCAUGGUUCAAGGAUGAAAGACGGUUUCGGCUGUCACUUACAGAUGGACCCGCGGCGCAUUAGCUAGUUGGUGGGGUAAUGGCUCACCAAGGCGACGAUGCGUAGCCGACCUGAGAGGGUGAUCGGCCACACUGGGACUGAGACACGGCCCAGACUCCUACGGGAGGCAGCAGUAGGGAAUCUUCCGCAAUGGACGAAAGUCUGACGGAGCAACGCCGCGUGAGUGAUGAAGGUUUUCGGAUCGUAAAGCUCUGUUGUUAGGGAAGAACAAGUGCGAGAGUAACUGCUCGCACCUUGACGGUACCUAACCAGAAAGCCACGGCUAACUACGUGCCAGCAGCCGCGGUAAUACGUAGGUGGCAAGCGUUGUCCGGAAUUAUUGGGCGUAAAGGGCUCGCAGGCGGUUUCUUAAGUCUGAUGUGAAAGCCCCCGGCUCAACCGGGGAGGGUCAUUGGAAACUGGGAAACUUGAGUGCAGAAGAGGAGAGUGGAAUUCCACGUGUAGCGGUGAAAUGCGUAGAGAUGUGGAGGAACACCAGUGGCGAAGGCGACUCUCUGGUCUGUAACUGACGCUGAGGAGCGAAAGCGUGGGGAGCGAACAGGAUUAGAUACCCUGGUAGUCCACGCCGUAAACGAUGAGUGCUAAGUGGUUAGGGGGUUUCCGCCCCUUAGUGCUGCAGCUAACGCAUUAAGCACUCCGCCUGGGGAGUACGGUCGCAAGACUGAAACUCAAAGGAAUUGACGGGGGCCGCACAGCGGUGGAACAUGUGGUUUAAUUCGAAGCACGCGAAGAACCUUACCGGUCUUGACAUCCUCUGACACCCUAGA